rnacentral:rRNA from 1 species
UACGUAGGGCGCAAGCGUUGUCCGGAAUUAUUGGGCGUAAAGAGCUCGUAGGCGGUUUGUUACGUCCGCUGUGAAAACCCAGGGCUUAACCCUGGGCUUGCAGUGGAUACGGGCAGACUAGAGGCAGGUAGGGGAGAAUGGAAUUCCCGGUGUAGCGGUGAAAUGCGCAGAUAUCGGGAGGAACACCGGUGGCGAAGGCGGUUCUCUGGGCCUUACCUGACGCUGAGGAGCGAAAGCGUGGGGAGCGAACAGG